UGAAACUCAAAGGAAUUGACGGGGGCCCGCACAAGCGGUGGAGCAUGUGGUUUAAUUCGACGCAACGCGAAGAACCUUACCGGGGCUUGACAUCUUUUUGACCGCCUGGGAAACCAGGUUUUCUUCCUUCGGGAAGACAGAAAGACAGGUGGUGCAUGGUUGUCGUCAGCUCGUGUCGUGAGAUGUUGGGUUAAGUCCCACAACGAGCGCAACCCUUGUCCUUAGUUGCCAGCCUGUUUACAGGCGCACUCUAAGGAGACUGCCGUAGAUAAUACGGAGGAAGGUGGGGAUGACGUCAAAUCCUCAUGCCCCUUACGUCCCGGGCUACACACGUGCUACAAUGGCCUGUACAGAGGGUUGCGAAGGAGCAAUCCGGAGCCAAUCCCACAAAGCAGGCCCCAGUUCGGAUUGGAGGCUGCAACUCGCCUCCAUGAAGGUGGAAUCGCUAGUAAUCGCGGAUCAGCAUGCCGCGGUGAAUACGUUCCCGGGCCUUGUACACACCGCCCGUCACACCACGAAAGUUGGCGAUACCUGAAGUUGCCGUACCAACCCUUCGGGGAGGAAGGCACCGAAGGUAUGAUCAGCGAUUGGGGUGAAGUCGUAACAAGGUAACCAAGGGCGAA
rnacentral:rRNA from 1 species